rnacentral:rRNA from 1 species
AACGCUAGCUACAGGCUUAACACAUGCAAGUCGAGGGGCAGCACAGUGUAGCAAUACACGGGUGGCGACCGGCGCACGGGUGCGUAACGCGUAUCCAACCUUCCCGUUACUCUUGGAUAGCCUUCCGAAAGGGAGAUUAAUACAAGAUGGUAUUCAAAUUCCGCAUGUUAUUUGAAUUAAAGAUUUAUCGGUAACGGAUGGGGAUGCGUGACAUUAGGUAGAUGGCGGGGUAACGGCCCACCAUGCCUACGAUGUCUAGGGGUUCUGAGAGGAAGGUCCCCCACACUGGAACUGAGACACGGUCCAGACUCCUACGGGAGGCAGCAGUGAGGAAUAUUGGUCAAUGGUCGGAAGACUGAACCAGCCAAGUAGCGUGAAGGAUGAAGGUUCUAUGGAUUGUAAACUUCUUUUAUAUAGGAAUAAAACCUCCUACGUGUAGGAGCUUGUAUGUACUAUAUGAAUAAGCAUCGGCUAACUCCGUGCCAGCAGCCGCGGUAAUACGGAGGAUGCGAGCGUUAUCCGGAUUUAUUGGGUUUAAAGGGAGCGUAGACGGGAGAUUAAGUCAGUUGUGAAAGGCUGCGGCUCAACCGCAGCACUGCAGUUGAUACUGGUUUCCUUGAGUGCGGUUGAGGUAUGUGGAAUUCGUGGUGUAGCGGUGAAACGCUUAGAUAUCACGAAGAACUCCGAUUG